GAUGAACGCUGGCGGCGUGCCUAAUACAUGCAAGUCGAGCGAACGGACGAGAAGCUUGCUUCUCUGAUGUUAACGGCGGACGGGUGAGUAACACGUGGAUAACCUACCUAUAAGACUGGGAUAACUUCGGGAAACCGGAGCUAAUACCGGAUAAUAUUUUGAACCGCAUGGUUCAUAAGUGAAAGACGGUCUUGCUGUCACUUAUAGAUGGAUCCGCGCUGCAUUAGCUAGUUGGUAAGGUAACGGCUUACCAAGGCAACGAUGCAUAGCCGACCUGAGAGGGUGAUCGGCCACACUGGAACUGAGACACGGUCCAGACUCCUACGGGAGGCAGCAGUAGGGAAUCUUCCGCAAUGGGCGAAAGCCUGACGGAGCAACGCCGCGUGAGUGAUGAAGGUCUUCGGAUCGUAAAACUCUGUUAUUAGGGAAGAACAUAUGUGUAAGUAACUGUGCACAUCUUGACGGUACCUAAUCAGAAAGCCACGGCUAACUACGUG
rnacentral:rRNA from 1 species